AUGAACGCUAGCGGCAGGCUUAAUACAUGCAAGUUGAGGGGCAGCAUGAUAUACGCGAGUAUAUUGAUGGCGACCGGCGGACGGGUGAGUAAUAGGUAGGAGACCUACCUCAUACAGGGGGAUAGCAUAGAGAAAUCUGUGGUAGUACCCCAUGAGGUUAUAUGAAUAGAGGCAUAUAAUCAAAGCAUAAGCGAUUAUGCGGUAUGAGAGGGGCCUACUGACCAUUAGCUAGUUGGUGAGGUAAGGGCUCACCAAGGCGAAGAUGGUUAGGGGUUUUGAGAGAGAGACCCCCCACAUUGGAACUGAGAGACGGUCCAGACUCCUACGGGAGGCAGCAGUAGGGAAUAUUGGGCAAUGGGCGAAAGCCUGACCCAGCCAUGCCGCGUGAAGGAAGACGGCCUUAUGGGUUGUAAACUUCUUUACUACGCGAAUAGAGGUUAGUACGAGAUACUAAUAGGAAGGUAGUGUAGUAAAAAGCACCGGCUAACUCCGUG
rnacentral:rRNA from 1 species